GAUGAACGCUAGCGGCAGGCUUAAUACAUGCAAGUCGAGGGGCAGCAGCUUUAUAGCAAUAUAGAGGCUGGCGACCGGCAAACGGGUGCGGAACACGUACACAACCUUCCUUGAAUAGGGGGAUAGCCCAUAGAAAUGUGGAUUAAUACCCCGUAAUAUAGCGGUGUGGCAUCACACUGUUAUUACAGUUUCGACGAUUCGAGAUGGGUGUGCGGCUGAUUAGGUAGUUGGCGGGGUAAAGGCCCACCAAGCCUUCGAUCAGUAGCUGAUGUGAGAGCAUGAUCAGCCACACGGGCACUGAGACACGGGCCCGACUCCUACGGGAGGCAGCAGUAAGGAAUAUUGGUCAAUGGACGCAAGUCUGAACCAGCCAUGCCGCGUGAAGGAUGAAGGUCCUCUGGAUUGUAAACUUCUUUUAUAGGGGGCGAAAAAAGGUCUUUCUAGAUCACUUGACAGUACCCUAUGAAUAAGCACCGGCUAACUCCGUGCCAGCAGCCGCGGUAAUACGGAGGGUGCAAGCGUUAUCCGGAUUCACUGGGUUUAAAGGGUGCGUAGGCGGGUAGGUAAGUCAGAGGUGAAAUCCUGGAGCUUAACUCCAGAACUGCCCUUGAUACUAUCUAUCUUGAAUAUGGUGGAGGUAAGCGGAAUAUGUCAUGUAGCGGUGAAAUGCAUAGAUAUGACAUAGAACACCUAUUGCGAAGGCAGCUUACUACGCCUAUAUUGACGCUAAGGCACGAAAGCGUGGGGAUCAAAC
rnacentral:rRNA from 1 species